UUCUCGAAUUUAAAAGAGUUAAUUAAUUAAAAAAUUUAUUGUAGCAAAAAUAUUUUUCAUAAUUAAUUAGAAAUGAAAUGUUAAUCGUUUUUAAAUAUAUCUAGUUUUUUUAGAAAAAAAUUUAAUUUUAAAUUAAAUUAAUUAAAAAAUUAAUUAAAAAAUUUUUUAAAAUUUAAAUUUAAUAUUUUAAGGGAUAAGCUUUAAUUUAAAAUAUUUAUAGUUAAAUAUUAAAUUUUUUGAAAAUUUUAAAAUUUAUAUUGUUUAAAAAUUAUAAUUUUUUAUAAAUAAUUUCAUAAAAAAUAAAAUUUAAUUUUAAUUUAAUUUUUUAUAAAAAAAUAAAAUUUAAAAAAAUAAUUUUAGUUAUAAUGAUAAAAUUAGUAUAUAAAUUUUAUUUAAUUAAUAUUAUAAAAUAUUUUUAAAUGAAAAAUUAAUUAUAAGGAAUUCGGCAAAAAUUUAUAUUCACUUGUUUAUCAAAAACAUGUCUUUUUGAAAUAAUUUAAAGUCUAAUCUGCCCACUGAUGAAAAUUGAAGGGCUGCAGUAUUUUGACUGUACAAAGGUAGCAUAAUCAUUAGUCUCUUAAUUGGUGACUUGUAUGAAAGAUUGGAUGAGAUAUAAGCUGUCUUAUUUUUAUUUAUAGAAUUUAAUUUUUU
rnacentral:rRNA from 1 species